rnacentral:rRNA from 1 species
GUUAGCGGCCACAGGAGAGGUGGCACACCCGUUCCCAUCCCGAACACGGAAGUUAAGACCUCUUACGACGUUGCUGGUACUGCCUGACGGCGGGAAAGCGCGUUGCUGCUACAC